rnacentral:tRNA from 1 species
UGCCCCAUAGCCAAGUGGUAAGGCAUCGGACUCUGACUCCGUGAGCGCUAGUUCGAAUCUAGCUGGGGCAGCCA